GGGGUUGUAGCUCAGUGGUAGAGUACUUGCCUUGCAUGUGUAAGGAACUGGGUUCAAUCCUCAGCACCA
rfam:Ictidomys tridecemlineatus contig059794, whole genome shotgun sequence.